rnacentral:sRNA from 1 species
GAGGCAGCCCUGGGGAAUGAGGUUGUUUGUUUACCCACAGAACACGCACAGCCUGGGCAGCAGCAGCAGCGCAGUCCUCCCCACGCUGCUGCACUGCUGCUCUCCAGCCUUGCUCCCAAGUGACAAUCUCCAGAGGUGACAAGGAGGUUUGCGAUCCCUAUUCGCCCCAAAUCCUGCUGCU